AGGUCAGCGGCGGACGGGUGAGUAACACGUGGGUAACCUGCCUGUAAGACUGGGAUAACUCCGGGAAACCGGGGCUAAUACCGGAUGCUUGAUUGAACCGCAUGGUUCAAUCAUAAAAGGUGGCUUUUAGCUACCACUUGCAGAUGGACCCGCGGCGCAUUAGCUAGUUGGUGAGGUAACGGCUCACCAAGGCGACGAUGCGUAGCCGACCUGAGAGGGUGAUCGGCCACACUGGGACUGAGACACGGCCCAGACUCCUACGGGAGGCAGCAGUAGGGAAUCUUCCGCAAUGGACGAAAGUCUGACGGAGCAACGCCGCGUGAGUGAUGAAGGUUUUCGGAUCGUAAAACUCUGUUGUUAGGGAAGAACAAGUACCGUUCGAAUAGGGCGGUACCUUGACGGUACCUAACCAGAAAGCCACGGCUAACUACGUGCCAGCAGCCGCGGUAAUACGUAGGUGGCAAGCGUUGUCCGGAAUUAUUGGGCGUAAAGCGCGCGCAGGCGGUUUCUUAAGUCUGAUGUGAAAGCCCCCGGCUCAACCGGGGAGGGUCAUUGGAAACUGGGGAACUUGAGUGCAGAAGAGGAGAGUGGAAUUCCACGUGUAGCGGUGAAAUGCGUAGAGAUGUGGAGGAACACCAGUGGCGAAGGCGACUCUCUGGUCUGUAACUGACGCUGAGGCGCGAAAGCGUGGGGAGCGAAC
rnacentral:rRNA from 1 species